rnacentral:misc_RNA from 1 species
GCAGAUAACUGAUGCACAGGCUGAGGAAUUGAGAAAGUCUCUUUGGGAAAAGCAAGUCCCAGCAAAGGUGUAUGUUGGUAUGCGCUAUUGGCACCCAUUCACAGAAGAAGCUAUUGAACAAAUAAAAAGAGAUGGAAUCACAAAGCUUGUUGUGCUUCCACUUUAUCCACAGUUCUCAAUAUCAACCAGUGUGGUUCAAGCCUUCGUCUCUUGGAGAGUAUAUUCCGAGAAGAUCAAUAUCUUGUUAACAUGCAACACACAGUGAUACCUUCCUGGUACCAGCGUGAAGGAUACAUAAAAGCCAUGGCAAAUUUAAUUGAAAAGGAAUUAGAAAAAUUUAACUGUCCUGAGAAGGUUGUGAUAUUUUUCAGUGCUCAUGGGGUGCCACUUGCAUAUGUGAAAGAGGCUGGUGAUCCAUACAAAGCAGAGAUGGAGGAAUGUGUG